ACAGACAGCAGAGGUGUGAAUCUGGGGUGUGUGGAACACGUCUGUUCCCAUGUGAAGCUCAAGCCUUCACACUUCCUGUUUCAUUGGGCCAUUCACCGACAAGAAGGCAGAAAUAGGAAACCUUCCAGCUAGUCAGCCUGCCAUGGGACUACGUGUGCUGUUUUAACACUUGAACUUGCACAGAUCUCUAGAGUUUGCUGCUUCAUUCCCACUGAUUCUGAUGAGGCUAGAGAACUGUGCUCCAUUCUGCAGCAAGGGCAGCUCACACACAUGCAACCAGGCUUCCUCCUGUCUUCCAGAAUAGCUAUAGAACCAGCUCAACGUUUGCUGCACAGCUAUGAUUCCAGAGACUUGGGAGGUAGAGGCAGAAGGAUCAGGCAUCCAAGGACAUCCUCAGCUACACAAAAGAAGCAAUCUUCAUGGUCACCAGCAGCAAACCAGCUACAAUUAGUCCCCAAGUCUUCCCCGCCCAGAUGGUCUGGUAUAUUCUGUCCAAGAUGAACAAUUGAAUCUUUUGUCUGUGGCAAAUGGGACGUCCUUGGAAGAUUGGAUGCCAUAGCAAAGCAGUAUUUUAGGAAGAUGAUUUUUUUUCCUCUCUCUAAAAGGGGAUGGUCCAGUCAUCUGUCAGUCACUCAUUGAUCUGUUAUACUAAACGCUUCUUCCAGACUACCUUGACACUUUUACUCAAUUUUUGCAAAUGGAGAAAAAGAGGGCUCCAGUGUAGAAUUUUAUAAAUUGCUAGGAGGUAAGAGAUUUGUGCUCAAAAGGAUCCAGAUAAACCACUGAAGCUCCCUAAGGCUCCUGAUCUGUAAAUGGGAAUAAACCAGCUAUCAUUUGGAAAUGAGUAUAGCCUGCCCAGCAUGGUUCCCAUGGUAUCAACCCCAGCUCUUCCAAUGUAGCUAACUUCACAGCAUCAUCACACCUACCAGCAGCAACUUGAGCCCACCAAAGCAGACCCUCCUGCAUGUACUGAAACCACACGCCACACACACCAUCCUGGGGUUUCUCCAAGUGUUGACCAACACGGAGGAGAUCCAACCAGGGACAAGGCCUGAGGAAGAACUUACUGGAAAUGUGUUAUAUAAUUAAGAAGUCUGAGCUAGCUCCUCAGGAAACCCAAUCAAGUGUUAAUCGAACCACUUGGUGGCAAUCCUCAGAAAACGUAAGGUGGUUGGAGACUCUGGGUCAUCAAAGUUUUCCUCACAGAUGUCAGACCUUC